ensembl:lncRNA
ACCUGACCUCACCCUCUCACCCUCUCACCCUCUCACCCUCUCACCCUCUCACCCUCUCACCUGUCCAAACCAUCUCACUUUCUCACCCUCUCACCCUCUCACCCUCUCACUGUCACUGUCAUGGAUGGAGGACAGGGACUGUAGCAAAUUGACACAGACACUGUAGCAAGUCCUUGAUAAGCACACGGCUGCUGCCAUUGGAUCGUCUGUCUGUCCAUCACAUGUUUGUUGUCCUGUCAUCACUCCUAAUAUGGACACUGAAGCAGGAAGUGGACACCGAUGCGGGCCCGGAGCUGGGCCUGAUCCGGCUCAGUGCUGGCUGCCCGGUUUGUUCCCUUCUUCCUCCUUUCCCUCCUUACUGUGAGGUUUUCCCUGGCAUGGGAGGGUGGCAUCGGACCACACUGUGCCCACCACACUGGCAUAGGAAGAUGGCAUCAGACCACACUGUGCCCACCAUACUGGCAUGGAAAAGUGGCAUCAGACCACACUGUGCCCACCACACUGGCAUGGGAAGAUGGCAUCAGACCACACUGUGCCCACCAUACUGGCAUGGGAGGGAGUUCAUGCCUGUGUGCGUGAGGUUUCCUCUUCACUGUGACGGACUUUUAGUGUAUGGUGCAUUUCUCUGCUGUGAAGGGUUAUGAAGCAUUAUGAAGGGUUAUGAAGGCAUGAUAUUAAUGUCACAGUAGAUGUCACUUUCCCCAUGUUGUAUUACUUCCCCCAUGUUACAGUCUAACUACACAAUUAAGUACGAUAUAUAACACUGGUGCCACACUGAGUAACAUUAACACAGGCUAGUGUUAGGGGUGAGAUUGGGAACAGGUUUUGGAUUCCUCUCUACAUACAAGUACAGACUGUUAGUUAGCUAGUUAGUGUGUUACAAUGUAAUUACAAUGUUAUAAAGGCACUAUAAAGCACUACCCUGUAAUAAGGGUGUAUUACACCAGCCUUGUUACAUCGUGACCAUACCCCUUGAAUGCAACAACAAUUAUUAUUAUUAUUAUUAUUAUGUUCAUUAUUAUUAUUAUUAUUAUUAUUAUUAUUAGUAUGUAAAAAGACUUGAUGCUAUAUGCUAAUAUAACCCCUAACUGUAACCCCACUCCUGGUUCAAUCUAAUGACAGCAUAUUCAUAUUUAAUUACUCUACACAAAUGAACUAUAACAGAGCACAGACAGAGCUACCUUGCACUUAAUCGUGUAGUGCCAUGGUAACGAGGGGUAUGUAACUUAAUCGUGUAGUGCCAUGGUAACGAGGGUUAUGUAACUUAAUCGUGUAGUGGCGUUGUAACGAGGGUUAUGUAAGUUAAUCAUGUAGUGCCAUGGUAACGAGGGCUAUGUAAUAGCCAUUAGUAUCUGUGUUACGUCUCCUACUCAUUCGGACUGUAAACGAGGUAGUUCACUAGCAUGAAUCAUACUGGUGUAUCCUGGGCAGCCUGCGUCACUGGGACAGAAACACGCAUCCGUCAAACCAGACCAGGACGUGGCUGGAUCCGUUUCAGACCCACACCAGGACGUGGCUGGAUCCGUUUCAGACGCACACCAGGACGUGGCUGGAUCCGUUUCAGACCCACACCAGGACGUGGCUGGAUUCCGUUUCACUCUCUGCAGCGGUGGAGGAUUCUGUUGAGCUGUAUCAUCACUUUUAGGAACGGGAACUGAAAUAAUAACCAACCCUUUCUACAGCUUCUGCCACAACCACUUAACCACGCAGGGUUCAACACCCAUCACCAGCAAGAGUAAAUGAAUAGACUUCAGAAACAUCCAGAUGAGAAACUCUUCCUGUGCACAGAGGCAGGCAAACAAGAGCAGGAGCUGAGUCCAGUCUUGUGCUCAAGGCGUCUCUGACAACCGAGCCGCUGAACCUUUUCAACCAAUCUCAUCCGUCAGCUUCAUUAGCCAGGGUCAUGCAGAUACAUGCAGUAAGAGAGAGAAAGAAAGAAAGAAAGAAAGAGAGAAAGAAAGAAAGAGAGAAAGAAAGAAAGCCAGGGAGAAAAGGGAGCAAAAGCUGUCUGUCCACAUGUGGCUCUGGGGUGUAGUAGUUAACCACGGCAUACCUGUCUGUCUGAGUGCAUACCUGUCUGUCUGAGUGCAUACCUGUCUGUCUGAGUGCAUACCUUUCUGUCCGUGUGCGCUGGACUGUGUGAUGAGAUAGCAAGCCAUGCAGGAACUGAAGGCCAGUGACUUUUCCCUUGUACGAUCUCAAACAGACCAAAGCUUCGCUUCACAAAUCAUAAAGCAUGAGUGGCCAUGACAACAAGCUCAGAACGGAGUGUGUGUGUGUGUGUGUGUGUGUGUGUGUGUGUGUGUGUGCGUGCGUGUGUGUGAGAGAGAGUGAACACACAGCGCUUUGUCUGAGCCCCUCUGCGUGCAGUCUUCCGCUGUCUGUCUAACCACCAGACGCCGACCCAGCGCAGGUCUCGCAUGCAUCUGAAAAACCUGGACCAGACUCCAGACUGGAUCUAAAAUCUGGACCGGACUCCAGACUGGAUCCACGCCUGACUGGGCUGGGGUGCACUCUCUCUCCUGCAUCCAGUGUUGUCAGGAAUGAGUCUGUCUGGGUCUGGCUACGUGUCUUUGAUGUUAACUCUUCACGGCAAAAAAGGAAGGUAUCCUGUGGGUCCUGAUCGUCAUCUUUUUGUUUCCAGACGGAUGGUAAUACUGAACUUAAACAGACAUGAUAUAACAAGGCGAGAAUAACAACAACAUCAAGUCUUUUAGUCUCUCAUAUGUAGCGAUAUGUGUAUUAUAUUAGUGUGUCAAAACACUUAGUGUUUAUUUAUUCAUGUAUUUAUUUGUCAGUGAAGUCACUGGAUGUGUUCAUGGCACACACACACACUCACAAACGCACACACUCACACACAAACGCUCACAAACGCACACACUCACAAACGCACAAAAACACACAACACUCUACCCCUCUGACACAGUGCUGUCUGAGACUUGGCAAUAAUACCUUUUUUUUUGUCUUUCUGAUGUCAGUGUAUGUGUGUGUAAAUAAAGAGCGGCACAGUCGAGUAUAUAUUUUGACUUGAGAUUUCCAGCUGCAUCUCAACAAGCCUUGAGACAAUUAAGCCUUCGAACUUAAUCUCUAUUCAGCUUCAGCAAGAUCUCUUUGUCCAGGUUGGCCCUUGAGUACAACAUGACACAUGGAACAACCAUCAUCCUGUCAUGUUAUAACAGCAACCAAAACCCAAUCUUAAAAUCACUUCACCUCCAUUCCCGAAGCUGAAACCACUGCAUGAACAAGUUAGGCAGAGGGAGAGUAUAACGUAGCAAGACUGCUCAACUGUAAACUGCUUAACGGAUAAACUGUGGGAACUUCUUAUCACCUGUUGUGUUUCAUUUGGGUUGUGCUUUGUAGCAGUGUCACACACACCUGGUCUAGGGACAAUAGUACAGAUCACACACCUGGUCUAGGGACAAUAUUACACACACACCUGGUCUAGGGACAAUAUUACACACACACCUGUAGGGACAAUAUUACAGACCACACACCUGGUCUAGGGACAAUAUUACAGUAUUAUAUUUUGAGGAUCCAAACGUUCAAAUUGUUUUAUUAUUAUUAUUAUCAUUUUUGUAGAAUAUGUAGUGCAAUAAUUUGGCUUGAUUUUGCCUUGUAGCAAGACAUAAUGUAGAUGAAUGACUUCUAGAGCCUUGGGUUGGGGAUAGGGAGGCUUCACGUGCACUGUCUGUAUGGGAUUGGAAAAGGAUUACGGUUCCGUGCAGAACGUCAUUCUGAAGAAGCAUGAUUUUGAGCCAUUUCGAUUCAACACCAAAACCUACAUUUUGUUAAUUCAUGUCGUAUGUCAGUAUGUUAUCAGGUAUGUGCUGUUGUUGCGAUGUCAGCCAAUGGUGGAGCAUUGCAUUGCAAAGGAGAUUGCUGAUUGGUAGCAAUCUCAUCGUCUUGUAUGCAUGGUAACCUUGAUUGUGAACUCACCCAAUCACGUUUCAAUAAAUGUCCAGGACAACAAUCAGA